CCUACGGGUGGCAGCAGUGGGGGAUAUUGGACAAUGGGGGGAACCCUGAUCCAGCGACGCCGCGUGAGUGAAGAAGUAUCUCGGUAUGUAAAGCUCUAUUAGCAGGGAAGCAGAAAUGACGUUACCUGAGUAAGAAGCCCCGGCUAACUACGUGCCAGCAGCCGCGGUAAUACGAAGGGGGCAAGCGUUACGCGGAAUUACUGGGUGUAAAGGGAGCGUAGGCGGUGAUGUAAGCCUGGAGUGAAAGGCGGGGGCACAACCCCCGGACUGCUCUGGAAACUAUGUGACUGGAGUGCAGGAGAGGUGAGCGGAAUGCCUAGUGUAGCGGUGAAAUGCGUAGAUAUUAGGAAGAACACCAGUGGCGAAGGCGGCUCACUGGACUGUAACUGACGUUGAGGCACGAAAGCGUGGGGAGCAAACAGGAUUAGAUACCCGAGUAGUC
rnacentral:rRNA from 1 species